UGGGGAAUUUUGGACAAUGGGGGAAACCCUGAUCCAGCCAUCCCGCGUGUGCGAUGAAGGCCUUCGGGUUGUAAAGCACUUUUGGCAGGAAAGAAACGUCAUGGGUUAAUACCCCGUGAAACUGACGGUACCUGCAGAAUAAGCACCGGCUAACUACGUGCCAGCAGCCGCGGUAAUACGUAGGGUGCAAGCGUUAAUCGGAAUUACUGGGCGUAAAGCGUGCGCAGGCGGUUCGGAAAGAAAGAUGUGAAAUCCCAGAGCUCAACUUUGGAACUGCAUUUUUAACUAACGGGCUGGAGUGUGUCAGAGCGUGGUGGAAUUCCGCGUGUAGCAGUGAAAUGCGUAGAUAUGCGGAGGAACACCGAUGGCGAAGGCAGCCUCCUGGAAUAACACUGACGCUCAUGCACGAAAGCGUGGGGAGCAAACAGG
rnacentral:rRNA from 1 species